CCUACGGGGGGCAGCAGUGGGGAAUAUUGGACAAUGGGGGCAACCCUGAUCCAGCCAUGCCGCGUGUGUGAAGAAGGCCCUCGGGUUGUAAAGCACUUUCAGUGAGGAAGAACGCCUGGUGGUUAAUACCCAUCAGGAAAGACAUCACUCACAGAAGAAGCACCGGCUAACUCCGUGCCAGCAGCCGCGGUAAUACGGAGGGUGCGAGCGUUAAUCGGAAUUACUGGGCGUAAAGCGCGCGUAGGUGGCUUGAUAAGCCGGUUGUGAAAGCCCCGGGCUCAACCCGGGAACGGCAUCCGGAACUGUCAAGCUAGAGUGCAGGAGAGGAAGGUAGAAUUCCCGGUGUAGCGGUGAAAUGCGUAGAGAUCGGGAGGAAUACCAGUGGCGAAGGCGGCCUUCUGGACUGACACUGACACUGAGGUGCGAAAGCGUGGGUAGCAAACAGGAUUAGAUACCCUUGUAGUC
rnacentral:rRNA from 1 species